CGUUCCAGGAGAUUGUUCACGGUCCAGCGCGNAUAGCACUUCUUUAGAUUACAACUNGGAAGGCGGUAAACCCUCAGAUUUUAAAUUUGAGCUUUUCCCGCUUCACUCGCAGUUACUAGGGGAAUCCNUGUUAGUUUCUUUNNNNUCUUGGUCANUUAGAGGAAGUAAAAGUCGUAACAAGGUUUCCGUAGGUGAACCUGCGGAAGGAUCAWUAUUGAAUAAGCUUGGUUGGGUUGUUGCUGGCUCUUCGGAGCAUGUGCACGCCUAACACCAAUCUUCUUUACCACCUGUGCACCUUUUGUAGACCUGGAUAUCUCUCGAGGAAACUCGGUAUGAGGACUGCUGUGCAUUUAAUAAAGCCGGCUUUCCUUACAUUUCCGGUCUAUGUCUUCAUAUACACCAUUUGUAUGUCAUAAGAAUGUUAUAAUAGGACUUGAUUGUCCAAAUAAACCUUAUACAACUUUCAACAACGGAUCUCUUGGCUCUCGCAUCGAUGAAGAACGCAGCGAAAUGCGAUAAGUAAUGUGAAUUGCAGAAUUCAGUGAAUCAUCGAAUCUUUGAACGCACCUUGCGCUCCUUGGUAUUCCGAGGAGCAUGCCUGUUUGAGUGUCAUGAAAUUCUCAACCUUUUCGGCUUUUACCAAAGUUGAUUAGGCUUGGAUGUGGGAGUUUGCGGGCUUUUCUAAAGUCGGCUCUCCUUAAAUUCAUUAGUAGGGACCUUUGUUGCCUUAGCUUUUGGUGUGAUAAUUAUCUACGCCAUUAUGUGAAGCAGCUUUAAAUUGGAGGUUACUGCUUUCUAAUCGUCUCCGGACAUUUCCUGACAAUUUGACCUCAAAUCAGGUAGGACUACCCGCUGAACUUAAGCAUAUCAAUAAGCGGAGGAAAAGAAACUAACAAGGAUUCCCCUAGUAACUGCGAGUGAAGCGGGAAAAGCUCAAAUUUAAAAUCUGAGGGUUUUACGGCCUUCCGAGUUGUAAUCUAGAGAAGUGCUAUCCGCGCUGGACCGUGUACAAGUCUCCUGGAACGGAGCGUCAUAGAGGGGGAGAAUCC
rnacentral:rRNA from 1 species